CCCUUAGAUGUUCUGGGCCGCACGCGCGCUACAAUGAUGAAUUCAACGAGUUUAUAACCUUGGUUGAAAAGCCUGGGUAAUCUUUUGAACUUUCGUCGUGAUGGGGCUAGACCCCUGCAAUUAUUGGUCUCCAACGAGGAAUUCCUAGUAAACGCAAGUCAUCAGCUUGCAUUGAUUACGUCCCUGCCCUUUGUACACACCGCCCGUCGCACCUACCGAUUGAAUGGUCCGGUGAAAUCUUCGGAUUGAGACUUUGUUUUCUUCACGGAAAACGCUGUUUUAAAAAGUUGAUUAAACCUUACCAUUUAGAGGAAGGUGAAGUCGUAACA
rnacentral:rRNA from 1 species